GUAAUCUUUAAUGCGAAGAAUGAGUAGGAGUUAGUUAGGCAAAGAGAAUAGGGAGGAAAGAGCAUCCCGAGGAGAGGAAAUAGUAUGUGUCUUGAGUAGGAAAACAGCUUCAAGGAAAUAAAAAAUAAAAAUACUGUUGGUAAGCAGAAAAGAGGUAAUGCAGGAAACUGGAGGAACAGGCAGGAGCCAGUCCCUGCAGGGCCUUAUAAACUGGUUAAGGAUGUGUGUUUUAAUCUAAUUGUAAUGGAAAACUACUCCAUGGCUUGAAAGGAAAGUGCAUUUUUAAAUGAUCAUUGUGGACCACUGUGAAGAUAAUGCAUUGUUGAGAAGACGGAAUUGAAGUUGGAAGCCACUUUUAGGCUAUUGUAAGAGAUGAUGAUGACUUGGACCAUAAAAGCGGCUUUGAAACAAAAAUACACGGGAAAUUAAAGAUGCAGUUUGAAAGGUGCAUCCACUGGAUUCAAUGACUGAUGGGAUGAGAAGGGUGAGGGCAUGUCGGUGAUGAAACUAUCACUACUGUUCAAGGUGCCAGAAGUUUGACUUACCAUCGCUUUUGAACAAUCAUCACUACAUGUCAGCGUG
rnacentral:lncRNA from 1 species